GAGGACACUACUGGGGACACAAAAACAAAAGCACAAGCACAUGGCAAAACACUAACAAACAGGGGAAUGACAUCAACAUGAGGAGAGAAUAUGGGGGAAACAGAGGGAAAAAACACCAGGGUUAGACAGGGAUCCUCACGUUAGCUUUCAACAAUUGAGCCGCGUAAAUCCCGAUAACCAGACCGAUAGAGCAAUUGUUGAACAAUAGUAUAUGAAGUCCUAUUAUUAUUAAUGUUUCAGAGGACAUUUAGAAAAAUAUAAUUUAACCAAGCCAACGUUCAUGGAAUCAUGGACCUUCCUCAUCUGCACAAUCUCUCUCUUAGAGGAUGCCGUCUAUCGGAGGGACGCCUUUUACGGCUACUUGUCUGCUCCUGGGCUCACACUACAGCCAUUGGCCGGGUGCUGUAUGCAGGUGGCUGAGCUCAAGACUAACUGUGACUUUGGUGUGACUCGGAUGUACCUGCGGGGAAGACAAAUACUUGUUUGAGAGAUGCGGCAAAAGUGUAACCCUCAAACAGAUAACUUGAUGGUUGCCGAUGGAGGACUAGUCGCAUAGCGGCUGCAGUGCACGCAGGGCGCCUGGCUGGAAAUUAGUCGGCCGGCCGAACUUGAUGGACCUCCGCACUGCUGUCUCGGGACAUGCGUUUCUCUAACAUCAAAUGCGUGGUCCCUGCUAAAAACACGUUAUCUUAUUUAGGCAAGCGGGUAGCAACAUUCCUGUGCCACUAAGUGAGCAUGGCGGACUGUUUCUACUGGUCCUCGAUCCGAAGCAGUUACGAGGCCAACCGGGUGCAGUUGUUGAUGACCUGGUCCCAAGAGCGCCAGAAGUCUACAAAGCUGCUGAUGUCACAGGGUGGACGAUUGGUGACAGUUGCAUGUUUUAUUGAUUGCAUAUUUUACAAUUUAUUGACUUAUGAUUGCAUGUUUUAUGACUUAUAAAUUAUGAUUGUUUGCAUGUUUAACGAUUUCUUGUGUGCUUUGAGUUUUGGUUUGCGUUGUAUCCUCCAUCAAUUAAGAUCGUCGUCCCCAGUGACAAGCUACCAAUUAGCGGCAUGUGACAAAUUGACCAAUGGGGAAAGGCCAGGGCGCGGGACUUAUUUUUAAACAGGAAAAGGGGACACUGAAGAGAGCAGGGGAAUAGGAACACAACGCAGUUUUGAGCGAAUGCGAACAGCAGAAGUGUAGUGGAAAUUUGUGGAUUUAGCCCAUGUGAGAAAUCAAAAGUAUCUUGAGCUUGCUUUGUGAACUAGAAUAUAGGAAAAAGAUAAAGAAUACAGAAAUCAUAAGCACAAGUCGUAAGCACAGACAGAAGUCGAAUGACUACAAUUCAGCUGAAAAGGGACAGAUGUUCCUUCCCCCAAAAGGAGCAGGAAGAUCUGACAAAGUUAAAGAGGAGAACAGGAGCUUAUGUACACUUCAGGGAGGUUUGUGCUGCCUCAGCACAGGAGAGCCCACCCCUCAAGAGGAAUGUUGGCAAAGUACCAGAUGAUGUAGGGGUGACCCCGUGACCCUCCCUUUAUGGACCCAGACAAUCAACAACAACCUAAAGGUCAGUCAGGGCACGUAUGAUUUCAUCUGUGUCUUAUCUCACCCUGGACUGUCUUAAGUCACCGGCUCACAUCAAAGGUCACAUUCCUGAGAGCCUCACCCUAUGCAGGCUCAACAAUUCUCCCCCAACAAGAAGCAGACGAAGCAGAAGCAGACGCACCACCAGCACCAGCAGCAUCAGACGCAGCAGAAGCCGCAGCUGGCAGUCAGACGUCUGAACCGGUGGAAUAAUUACGCGCAGAACUUCGCUCUGCUGCGCUGGUGACAUACAUUUGGCGUUGUCGGCAGGAUCAGCGUCUAAAAAAGGUGCCAUUGGAACCGCAAGAACUGUGGUAACGAAACAGGUGAAGUUUCUGGGGCAUGUGGUUGACAGGGAAGGGGUCCGUCCCGAUCCUGAGAAGGUGUCUGCAGUCACCGAAUGGAGUCCUCCAACGACCAUCAAACAGGUUCCCCCAGGUGUCCAUGUCCACAGGCAGAGCAUCUGCUAGGGUCAACCUUACCACUGCUAGACUCGACCAAGAGGACUGAGUGGCACCACUAUCCAGCGAUUGGGGAAACUGGCAACAAGAUGACUCAGACAUUGCCAUCAUCAAGAGGUAUGAGGGCCAGAGAAGAGGGCUACGACCGAUAAGACCAGAAGGAUCCUCCAACAAUGGAAGAAAUUGAUUGUCCGAGAGCAGGUGCUCUACCGAGAGCGUCGAACCUCGGAGAUUCACCUGGCCGAAGAGGUAGCCAGUUAGUUCCACGGAGGUCAGCUGAGCACCUACAUACUCCUGCGUCGAGCCUCGGGUGUCACGCAGUCAAGUUCCUCUGCCUGUCACUCACCAUUGACUUGUGUUUUCGUCUUGCCUUUGUUUUUUCCCUGCCGGAGAAAAUAAAUAACCCCUGUUGGAGAAAGAGAAACCUUGGUGGUCCUGCGUGUUGCAUCUGGGCCCGUUUGCACAUCAUAACAGAUCGUCUACAUCCAACGUCAACUACCAGCACCUCGGUUUUUCCCAGAGCCCCCCCCCCCCGUUUUAGCAUAUUUAUCUUCUAACUAUAUGUUCCUCCC
ensembl:lncRNA